UAGGGUUUUAAGCAUUUUACAUAAUUUCUCUCUAAAAUUAUACAAUUUUCUUCUUAAUGGUUCUCCAAUCUUAUCCUUUUUCCUCUUUUUUUUUUUUUCUGAUACUGAGGAAUUUAGCAUUCAAAUUGCGAGAUAUUUAUGUUUUUGAGGUUAACAAUUGGUGCAACAAAGGUGUUUGAUGGUGGAAUGCUUCAAUCAAAUAAAAGAUUUACAGAUUUCUACAACAUAUUCCUCUGUCAAUUAUGAAGAUUUUAGGUCAGUAUUGACUUUCUUUGGCUUCUGGUGGUGAGUCUAAGCUAUUAUAUUUGAAGAUAAAGGGAGAUUAUUAUUGCACUUAUACAUAGUAGAAAAUACUUACUUUUCUGAUAAAGUUUUAUUAGUGCUUUAGUGAUUGAUUGGAAAAACAUUGGCACAUUUGAUGAGAGAAAACAAAAAGUUAACAGAGAUGUUGGAGUUUAGACGUAGUCAUUGACAAUGUUGGCUUCCUUCACUACAUAAGAGGGUGAUAAUGAGUCCAAUAUGGCUACCAAUUAAUUGCUUUUCUUAAUGGUUGGAGUGGUUUCUUCAACUUUUUUCUAAUCUGCUUUGGCCUUUGUGUUUUUGCCUUAUAUUUGAUUCUGGAAGCUGCAUGAUCCAACCAUAUUGUUUUACCUAUAUAAUGAGAAAAGAAGAAACAAACCCAUCCCUUAUGCUUUGAAAUAAAAGAGGACUCUAAUUGCUACUAAGGUUUUAAUAUCCAUAGUAACCGAAUUGUGCCUCAACAUGAGUUUAUUAGUAAGUCUUUGUGCUUUGAAAAUAGUACAUCAGAUAUGAUAGUAUCCAACUUCCUCUCCAAGGUCCAAUUCAAUAACCUUACGCCUUAACAUAGGGGUUUCUCUUUGCAGUCUGAAUUAUUACAAGUCAUCUUUUCCUAUGUGCCAACUAUUUAUGCUUUGAUAUUGUUGAGAUCCUUCACAGGGGAUUACUUAUGAUGGACUGUUAACUUUUUAUGUAUGCUGCAAGUACUCUUAUUACUAAAAUAGUACAUAUAUCAGUUGAUGUGUUAGUUUGGGUAAUUCACACUUUCAGGUAGAACCAAGAUAGCUCUAUGUAUUGGAUGAAAGGAUAAGCAAUUCUGAGCAAUUUUUGGGUGCCAUUUGAUUGGUUGACUUUUCUAAAGUGUGUUUUGAGACAAUUUCAAACAUAUAUAUUGUUAAAUGAGAUCAUUUAUUAGAUGGACUUAGAUAAUAACUGUGAGAUACUCUGAAGAAACUAGGAAAUAUGAGUCAAUGUACCUGGCUCAACUUCGGUUAACUUGCUGAAGUGAUGUAAAUCCUGUUUUUCAUGGAGAGAUUACAAAACACCUAAUGCGCAUAUGCUUCAUUAAGUUGCUUUAGUACAUUUUCUUAUCUUUGUGAUAACUAUGCCUCUGACAUGUUCUUUCCCAUCAUAUUUAUUUAAGUAGAAAUUAUUCUCAAUUCCAUUUCAUCUCCAAUGAGGAUGAAAAGUUGUUAGUGUGACCUAUGUUACCUGGGUCCUUUCAUUUGCAUUGACGUACACAUGUUGAGUGGGUGAGAUAUGGGUGUAGGUACUUCACACAAAUUAUUUGAAUACACAAAAGAACUACCAAAAAACUGCAUGUACUCCUACUAGAUACUUACACCUAUAUGACAUCACCCUUAAUCAGUCAAUGUGAUGAUAUACGAUGUUACAGAUAUUUCUGGCUGUCUUUUGUAAGAGAAUCUCAACAAUGCAGUGAAAAACCAAUUUGAAGAACCAACUAUUUUAGUGGCAUGCUUCUGUGGGUGAUUCUCUUUCCCUUAGCAUACAUAUAUCUUAAGGAAUUUUUCUACGACUAGCAAAAUGUGCAUUAUCAGACUAAUGAAGAAUCAAAUAAUUACUGUUUUUUUAUUCUUUGGGAUAGUACUUGAUAAAGAAAGCAACUGAUUAGUAUGCAUAAUUAUCAUUCUUGACGAGGUUCCAUUAUAAUAUUGAUUUCAAUUUUGAUAUUCUUGUCUUAUUUAGAAGUGGCAGUAGGGAAGGACGAACAAGGGCAAAUAAGUAAUUCUAAUGUUAACUUUGGGGUAAAUUUGUAAAUUCACUUUUCACAUGUGUAUCCAGUUUAUGCUUUCUUUCCUUGUUCAUCGGUAGAAUCUACCAUAUGCUGUACAUUUGUUCUAUCACUGCCUUUUGCUCUUGGUCAGAUCAUGAUGAUCGUUUUGGAUCUCAGUUUUGCCUCAAAUUUUUCUUCGGUGUUGUUGUAAUCUUUGGUUACACCAAGUUUUAGUUCCCCUUCUCCCCCAAUUUUUCGGUAAUGUGUCCAACUCUUGAAAAGAACCUAUAAUGGUUGCUUUUUUCCAUUUUUCUUUGGAUUCUUAGGUUGUGUAUCAUAAACUGUAUUUAAUUUUCCCAUGCAUGUUUGAAAAUAGAAAUAAAUAUGUAUAUAACUUUGAUGUACAGAGGCUUUUGUGGUUCCGAGUCUAGGUGUGCUCUAAAGUCGAAUAACAGCAAGCAUAGCUCUCACUUCGAAUCGGCUUUAAACUUUUUCCCAUUUUAUUAACUUUGACUGCUCCAAAUCGGGAUAUAAAUUUGUAAUCUGCGGAAAUUGUGAAGAUCUUUCUUCACCAAUCCCUUUGACACUCAUUCUUCAGGAAUAAGGAAAAGUAUUUUUAAGUUUGAAUUUGUUCAUUUAGAAUCUAAUUUCUUCUGCUUCAUAUUUAUUUAAUAUGAGUAUUAUCCUUCUCUUUUUGUUGAUACAUUUAACAUAAACUUGCCCCACUAUUUCUGGUGUGUAGCCUUUUCAGUAAUUUGCAGGAAUAACAGAUUACAUUUUCUGGGCACUGAAUAGACAGGUUCUAAUAGCAAAUUAAUGAACAAUUUAUCAUUUAAUCUCAUAUGAAGUGAAAGGAUUCUUAGCUUUUGAUUUGUGAUGAACUUGAAUGAAAUAGGACUUCAUAUGUGGUAUUGAGGUUUUCUAUUUCUCUCAACUUUACUUGAAGUUUGCCUUGCAAAGUUUUCUCAAACUUUAGCCUAAUUAUGCCCUCAUUUUCAUUCUCAGGCUAAUUAAAAUUUCAUUUAUCAAAAACUAUCGUAAUUGGUUCAUCUUCAUCUAUUUCGAUUUAGUAAAUUAGAGAUCUACCAACAAAGGUGUUUGUAUGCUGUUAAUGGAAACACAUACUGCCUUUUCUAUUCUCUUCAACUCUUUUUCUUAUCAUCUUCUUCCUCUACUUUUUUCAGCUACAUCUAUCUCAACAGUUUAUAUUCUUGCAGCAGGCAUCUUAUGGUUGUUACUUUAUACACUUGUAAUCUUGCAGCAGACACUUUGUGAUGGUUAAUUAUUGCAACAUAAUAAUAUUAAUUCUUACUUCUUAACCUCUUUAUAGGUUGUGAGUUUCGAAUUUUGAGUUCAUUUCAAAUGAACACAGGCUGUUCUUUUUAAAUUUAGGUGCCAUAAUCCGUCAAUGUCUUCUCAUAUGUGUCUUUGCGUUUUUGUGAUGUUUGAGUUUUAACUGUAAGAGUGGUUUAAGGAAAUAUGGAUUAUAUAAGAGGAGAAAAUAGAGUUGCAGCUAAUGGUUCAUCUCUGGCACAGAUUCAUUUCACAAGCUGUCCCUUUUUGCUAAAAUUAACUUGUGACCUGAACUAAUUCCUUUGAUUUUGCUAAAUCUAAAUAGGAAACAACACUAUACAACUACUAUCUUUCUUUGGUGAUGAUGAGGGACAACCCCAGAAAAUUAUGCUAUUAACGUCCCAUUAUUUGAAUGAGCCAACCUAGCCAAAAUUCUGGUAAGAACAGAAUCGUCUCUGGCAACAACACGUGUACUUUAUACGAAAACAGGUGUACUUGAAGUGUUCUUCUUCUUUUGUUAAUCCCAAAUCCUAAUGUUGCUUGAAUUUCUUUUGCACCUUUUACUUCUACUUUAGCAUUUCUUGGAUUUUGGGUGUGUUGGAUACUCUUGCAUGUGUGUGUUUUUCGCCAGAAAUUCAUUUGAACACCUGAGAAAGUGAAGGGCAGAGAAAUGGAUACACCACAGAGAAAGUAAAGUCUCCAUCUUCAUUUUUUUCAUAUCUACAAUUGAAAACACAAGAAAAUGAGGCCGAAAGAUUAUCGACCUUUGGUUUUGCUCGAUUUUAUCGGAGCCAUUAUUUUACUUCUGAAGUUCUCUUAGGCUUUAUAUAUUUUUCAUUUCUGGAUAAACGUUUCUAGAUAUUGGAUUUUGCUCUUCAUGUUUUAUUAGAAGACUUAUACUUGCAUUUUGGGUGAGUGUUCAAAUGCUUUUAUGAGAUCUGAAUUUGAAGGAAGAACUUUCACACUACCAAGGUGUUUGAUGAAAUGCCCCCUUAAGGAUUCUAUUAGGAAAUCAUCUCUCAUUUAAUAAUUCCAAGGAUGCAUUAUUCACAUUCACUAGAAAGAACUAUUCAAUAAUUAUAAUAUGCAUUAUAUAUCAUUUUUGUUAAAUAAAUAUUUAUUUGAAAUGCGUUUAGCUAGAUAUUUGAUGUUCAAGCUGUAUCAAGUGGUGAUACUCCUACAACAAAAUGUAACACCUUUUUAUAACUUGCAUGAGUAAAAAUGUAUGUAUAGUCUAACUUUGUUGUGUAUAUGUGUACAGGUUAGGAGGAUCGAUUGACAUGAAAAAGUCUACCUAUAUGUUUUCACUUAUUUCAACUAAGUGAGGUUAGUUUUAAAACAAGGAGGAAAGUAGGGUCUUCCGUGAUGCACUUGACCAAUGAAAGAUGUUUGUGGAGAUUCAAGGCCUAUUUUGACAGGUAUCUUAUUCUAAAAGUUAAUCACACAUCUUCUGCAGUACAAUCACAUUCUCUUCGUUAUUUAUUUUAUUAGUUUUUGAAUUAUAAUGGAGAUGUUAGUCAUGACUUUUUGAGUAAAACUAUUGUUAUUUUUUCCAGUCGUGUACAUUAAUGCACAAACAUAAAGUUUUAGCUGAAACUUUCUGUGAUGAUUCAUAUAUUGUCAGGUUUAGUUUGAUGCAAGAGACAUAAUCCUAUAAUGAUGAAAAAAAUGAAAUUUUCAGUUUACCGUGUUUAUAGACAUCAUAAAACACAUGAAUUUUGAAAAAAGACAGAGAUUCAAAUAGAUUGAAUUCUGCAUAUAUAUAGUGAAAAUUCAUUUCUCAUCAAUGGAAACCCUCAAGAUCUCUUAAAAUCUUUUAGAGUGCUAAGAUGGAGUUUUGUCCCCAUAUUUGUUUGUUUCGAUGAUAGAGACUCUCAACAUAAAGCUAAAAAAAGGUGAGAAUUUGGAUUGGGUAAAGAGGUUGCAGGUUGAUAGAAUGGGAGGUGCACCAUGUACAAUUUCUCAUAUUUUAUAUGCAAAUGUCAUUUUGUUGAUAUGUUCAUGGAGGAAUUCUCCUAACUUUUGGGAUAGUAACUGGUUCAAGGGUGAAUCUGGCUAAGAGGGUGUUUGGAUUGCUUUUACAAGAUGACUUCUAAGCUAAAAGCUAAAAGUCAUAAGUUGGUUAUACCCAACUUUUAGAUUUAAUUUUUUUUUUUUGCCUUUUCUGGCAAUCAAACACUACAAAAAAUGAGCUUAAAUUCAAAAGCACUUAAAAUGAGCAAAUUAAAUAGGAGUAUUAUGUACAACACCAUUGUAUAGAGGAUUUACCUCAGAGAUUUUAUAUAGGAAUUAGAUGAAAGGUUAAAGAGUUACCUAUAUUUGGGACUUUCUUGAGGUGCAAAGAAGAAUGCCAAAAGUAUCUGACUGAGAUAUUAAAUAGAUGUCUCAAUAAGAUGACUUCUUGAAAAAAAAAAUUGUCUUUCGAUGGCAGACUCACUUCAGUUAAUAGUGUGUUGGAUAAAAUUUCAACCUACUUAUUGUUUUUGUUAAAGUUGCAUGGUUAUAUGAGGAAAAUUUGAAUACCAUAAAAAGUGACCUCAUGUGGAAAGGCGUAAUACAAGAGAACUAAAGUUAUUAAAUGACAAAAAAAA